GGCCUUGUGGCGCAACGGAUAACGCGUCGGUCUACGGACGGAGUAGUGAACCGAAGAUUGCAGGUUCGAAUCCUGCCAAGGUCG
rnacentral:tRNA from 1 species